UGUAAUACUUUAGCUACUACCCCGGUA
rnacentral:sRNA from 1 species